AUAAUAUAAUACUACAUUUCAAGUGAUCAACCUAGGGUUCUACGUUUUAUAUUAUCAUUCAGACCCUUGUGAUCAUCAUGAUCAUUACAUUUCACAUAAAUUUUUUUUUCAAAAAACAAUUCUUUUUUUAGUUAGCGAAUGGGCGCACCUUGUUCCAUAGAUUUGCCUUGAGUUCGCCGAGUAAUUUGAUAGGUUUGGCAAUGACAGCUAAAUUUGUAGCACAUCUUGACUCGCGGAUCAUAUCCCCUUGCCCGGGGCUUGAGUGUGAUGGAACAAAACAUUCCACCUUAUAGCGAAUUCGUUUUUGUUCAGUUUCAACCCCAGUGCCGCACUAACUGCUGUCAAAACGUUUUUUUAUUCACUCAGUUUCGCAUUCAGUGUCGCACUAGUUCGCCCAGCCUGAGGGCAUCCGUAUACUAGCACAUAGGAUUUGACAGCGUCAAACAUGUCCGGGUCGCAAAUGCAAUUUGCGACCACUGUCACUCGCGAGAACUGCCAAACUCUCAAGCUGGUGUAAAACAAGGCACUUAACAUACUACCAGCGUUCAAGUCCAAUCCCCUACAGGGGCGAAGCUAUUUGCGCCGAAAAGAAAUGCACGAUCACACCGAAUACACACAUCAGAAGAAACGCUAUUAUGUCCCUGAGCAGCAGCGGUGUUUCCAAACAAAGUUAAUGUGUUCCACAAGCGGCAAUAUUUGUAUUGGGGAUUAUACAACUUACACCUCGAAAGGAAGUGCAUUACUUGGCCCAUCGAUUGUGAAACUGUUGGCAGGUUAACUUGAAGAGUUUCCGGGCGCCGGGUCUUUAGUCCGUCCUCUCCAUUCAUUGUACAAAUAUUGCGCCAGCGAACGUCAUUCAAUCGUUGUGCGAAACAAAUUCUCUCGAUGACACCAGCAUAAAAAUACCAACGCAGAUAUUUAUUACCAACAUGCUAAUCAUCCAGCAGCAAAAAUCUCCGAGCGUGGAAAUGGACCCAUCUGCAAAUUGUGCCAACGUAAACCAGUGCCCAUACAAGUGCUUGAGUACCCAUUUUGUAUGUUGAA